rnacentral:rRNA from 1 species
AUGGGUGAAGCUCUGGCCGUAAAAUUUGGUCUAACAUUGGCGCAAAGGAUAGGAUGCAACCACAUUAUUAUUAACAUGGACAACAUGGAGGUGAUUGAUACCAUGAAGGAAGGAGGACGAUCGCCGAGGGCAUCGGCUGCAAUUAUUGAUGAUUGUUUUCACUUAGCUUGUGAUUUUCCUAUUUCUAGAUUCGAGCACUGUAAUGAAGCAAAUAAAGUUGCUCACGAAAUUGCUAGAUUGGCUAGAUUUUCUUUAAUUUCUGAAUGGUUCGAGGAGCCACACCAUAAAAUUGUACCAAUGCUCACAAACGGUGUAAUGUUUAUUGCAAAUGAAUAA